CAACGAUGUCCGUGUUAAGUGAGUAUGUGAAGCACUGGGGCUGUGCUGUGUAGCCAUUAUUGAUCACAGGUGCUCAUGUGGGAGAGAUCACGUUGAAAGACACUGCAUUUUCUUUCCUUGAAGAUCAGAGCCAUGGAAAUUGAACAAUGAUCUGUAGUUUGUGGACAUCUGGGAAUUUAUCUGCUGAGGGAAGUUGAAUGUGAACGUAGUGUUUUGUGGUGCCGUAGAGGUCUCUACAGCCAUUCUUCACUGUGCAGUAGAAUCUCCUUUGUUUCCAGAUACUUCUAAGCUCAUAAGUCUUUCGGAGGCUUCCAAAAUGUGGCUAUAGUAUAAGUCCCUCUAAAGUCCCCAUUCCUGUUCCCUUACCAUAUCUGUGUCACAUGAAGACUCAGAUUGGUGGCAGAGGAUCCCCCCUUUUCCCCUGAGUUGGAGGUUGUGCUGAGGGUGAGCCUCUGCACUUGGACCUCCUCGGCUCAGGACACGGCAGUCUGCUCCUUGGCUGACUCAUCAGUGUCCCCACAGAGACUUAGCGUGACAGCUCAGCGCUGUGUCCACUCCUGGUACUGCCACCCGGUUCCUUUGAUGUGGCCUCUGUGCAUACUUGCCUGGGGGCCUGCUGUCUGGACAUGAUCCUCACAGGCAGCGUGAAUAGCCAACCCAAGGAGGGGUGGGGGCAUCCUGCAAAGGGACAGCAAUUCCAGCACCAGACCUCUGAGUUCCAGAAAGGUCCAGGGCUCAGGCCCAGAGCCCCUGCCUCUUUGCACAUGCCCCACCCAGCCAGGGUUGCUGCCGUUGGCCUCUUUCACUAGGGCUUCAAAGGCUCCAGACAUGGGGGGACUCAUCGACCCAAAAUCCAGGCCAUAGAAACGUGUACUGGUGGAGCAGGCCGCACUUCAGUGUGUGGAGUCUGGCGAGUGCUCACAAGGAAGAUCUCCAUUCCCCUCACUCCUGCUCCUCCACAGAACCUGCAGCUGUGCUUCCCGCCUCCCUGUUCUCCUGCAGCCUGCUCUGCCCCAGCGUGCCGCCUGAGUCUCUCCUACAGAUCAGGAAACUAACCCACUCCUCGCAAGUCUCCUCGCAGCUUCUCUUCUUGGCCCUCACUCUCCUUCUCCUUCACUGCAGGCUGCCUGCUGCCCCGCCCAGGAGGCUGCCCUGGGCACUGGACAGAGCCUUUGCUCUUCCUCAGCUCCGAGUUGCUCCUUCCAAGGCCCUUAGCCAGACGCCGCGGCCCCAGCAAGCAGGUCUGGACCCCACCCCGGAGCACCCCCCUGGAGCACCCUCCUGUUCUCCUGAUGGAGCACUCUGUCUUUUCAGAGCAGUGGUUUUGAGGGUGACUUAGAGAUUUGAAUCUCGAGCCCCGACUCCCGCUCUGAGUUAUAACUGCUGUCUGGACAUCUCAGUUCAAGGAAUGGAUUAGAAUUCACUGUGACUAACAGUGGACAUGUUUUCUGCCCCCCACAAACUAACUCCUCCUGGAGUCCGGAGUCAACUGAUCCUUUUACACCAGAGCCAACUCUGACCCAGUUUCCUUCAUCUCCUGGAAACUGUCACCAAGUUCUAACUUUCUUUUAGGGAAUUCAGAUUUGCCUCAGGGCCUCUGGCUGUGGUUUCCCUCUGGAUUCCUUCUCUUCCCCCAUUGCUGUACUUAAGCACCCCUCCCCCCCCUACCACCCAAUAUCACUUGGCUCAAAAGCCUUUCAAGGCCUCUUCUGGCCUAUGACGGGCAAAGUCCAGGUUUUUCUGCCCUGUUCCAAAGCCCCAUGGGACCUGACCCAACCCUCCCUAUUAACCUUGUCCCCACGCCCUGCCAGGCCUUCACAGAUUGCCUGCUGUCAAGUCACUGCCCAGGUUCUAGGGGAAUCAAAGGACCAAGGUUGUCAGUCCCUCCUGCAAGACCCGUGCAGUCGGGUGCAGGGCUGGAGGCAGUGUCCCCAGCUCAUGGACUCUAAUGAUAACACCAGUGCCUUGUUGAAGGCAGAGGAAGCAAUGUGGGAACAGAGGAGGGGCCAUUACUUGUGACAUUUCCUAUGCUGUGGCUUGGAGAGUAACUCUGUCAACCUGGAGCCUUAAUGUGUUUCUUGAGCCACUUUGUUAUCAAGAGACCCAGUGAACACCUGUGAGAUCAUAUUAAUUAUUCAAAGUGAUUUUCUUUUAGUGUUUUGGGGGAUUUAACCCAGGAGUGCUCUACCAUAGAGCUUAUAUAUACCUCUGGUCCUUUUUAUUUUACAUUGAGCAGGCUCUUGCUAACGUGCUGAGAUAGACCUUGAACUUGUGAGCCUCCUGCCUCAGCCUCCCAAGUUCUUGGAUUACAGGUGUGUGCCACCAUGCC
rnacentral:lncRNA from 1 species